UCCUAUAUCCGUCCUUGCCGGGUUUCACCCGGCUAUGACGAUAAACUGCGGCGAGUAAUAGACGCAGCGGACCCGGGGGCAGUACCCGGCGGCUCCACCAUAAAAGGUGGUGUAUCUGGACACCGUUUCUGACGGGGCCGAACCAGGAUCGACGUGUGUUGAAAAGCGCUGUUUUCGUUCGGAAUGGGACCACCGCAACGGCCCAUAACCACAAGUGCCAACGAUAACGAAGCACUCGCGAUUGCGGCGUAAUUGAGGGCCUCACGGCCUGACAUUACACCAAAAUAGCGCGGUCGGACCCCACCGGGCAACAGAAG
rnacentral:tmRNA from 1 species